AGAACACGCCGAGCCGGCCUCCACGCAUGGUGGUGUCUAUGGUGACCCCAGAAUCAGCCACCAACUCAGAGCCUUCAUAAAAUCUCACCCUGUGGACAACACGGAUGGAGUGGGUUUCAAACCAAGCUUUCCUGCCCCGGUCAGGAAAAUGCAAUCGGCACCCCCUUCCUAUAGAAGUGCUACAUAAGCUGGUGUGGAUCUGUAAGUCUGAGGAAUGAGAAAGGAAAUAAGGCAGAACAUGGGCUCACAAGAGGGUCAGUUCAUGCCCAGGGUAGUAUGUGUCGUUGCCAUGUCAGGCGCAGGGGAGACCAAGAUAAAAUGAGACAUGGGUGCUGCUCUCCUGAAGUUUAUCAGACCAUGAGGGACUCACUGCAGCAUGAAACGUUGAAGUAAGUGGUGAUACAGGGUCCAGAGGGACCACACAGGAGGGUGGAUGAGAGAGUCAGUCUCGCCUCACACGGGUCAGGGGGCAGACUGUUCUGGUGCCUAGGCCUCCCCCACAGAAGAUCCUUCCACCCCCCAGUGUGGCCCUACCAUCCGGUGGUCAGUCUGAGUGGGGUGUCCUCCUCCUACCUCUUU